GGUUAAGCGACUAAGCGUACACGGUGGAUGCCCUGGCAGUCAGAGGCGAUGAAGGACGUGCUAAUCUGCGAUAAGCGUCGGUAAGGUGAUAUGAACCGUUAUAACCGGCGAUUUCCGAAUGGGGAAACCCAGUGUGUUUCGACACACUAUCAUUAACUGAAUCCAUAGGUUAAUGAGGCGAACCGGGGGAACUGAAACAUCUAAGUACCCCGAGGAAAAGAAAUCAACCGAGAUUCCCCCAGUAGCGGCGAGCGAACGGGGAGCAGCCCAGAGCCUGAAUCAGUGUGUGUGUUAGUGGAAGCGUCUGGAAAGGCGCGCGAUACAGGGUGACAGCCCCGUACACAAAAAUGCACAUGCUGUGAGCUCGAUGAGUAGGGCGGGACACGUGGUAUCCUGUCUGAAUAUGGGGGGACCAUCCUCCAAGGCUAAAUACUCCUGACUGACCGAUAGUGAACCAGUACCGUGAGGGAAAGGCGAAAAGAACCCCGGCGAGGGGAGUGAAAAAGAACCUGAAACCGUGUACGUACAAGCAGUGGGAGCACGCUUAGGCGUGUGACUGCGUACCUUUUGUAUAAUGGGUCAGCGACUUAUAUUCUGUAGCAAGGUUAACCGAAUAGGGGAGCCGAAGGGAAACCGAGUCUUAACUGGGCGUUAAGUUGCAGGGUAUAGACCCGAAACCCGGUGAUCUAGCCAUGGGCAGGUUGAAGGUUGGGUAACACUAACUGGAGGACCGAACCGACUAAUGUUGAAAAAUUAGCGGAUGACUUGUGGCUGGGGGUGAAAGGCCAAUCAAACCGGGAGAUAGCUGGUUCUCCCCGAAAGCUAUUUAGGUAGCGCCUCGUGAAUUCAUCUCCGGGGGUAGAGCACUGUUUCGGCAAGGGGGUCAUCCCGACUUACCAACCCGAUGCAAACUGCGAAUACCGGAGAAUGUUAUCACGGGAGACACACGGCGGGUGCUAACGUCCGUCGUGAAGAGGGAAACAACCCAGACCGCCAGCUAAGGUCCCAAAGUCAUGGUUAAGUGGGAAACGAUGUGGGAAGGCCCAGACAGCCAGGAUGUUGGCUUAGAAGCAGCCAUCAUUUAAAGAAAGCGUAAUAGCUCACUGGUCGAGUCGGCCUGCGCGGAAGAUGUAACGGGGCUAAACCAUGCACCGAAGCUGCGGCAGCGACGCUUAUGCGUUGUUGGGUAGGGGAGCGUUCUGUAAGCCUGUGAAGGUGUGCUGUGAGGCAUGCUGGAGGUAUCAGAAGUGCGAAUGCUGACAUAAGUAACGAUAAAGCGGGUGAAAAGCCCGCUCGCCGGAAGACCAAGGGUUCCUGUCCAACGUUAAUCGGGGCAGGGUGAGUCGACCCCUAAGGCGAGGCCGAAAGGCGUAGUCGAUGGGAAACAGGUUAAUAUUCCUGUACUUGGUGUUACUGCGAAGGGGGGACGGAGAAGGCUAUGUUGGCCGGGCGACGGUUGUCCCGGUUUAAGCGUGUAGGCUGGUUUUCCAGGCAAAUCCGGAAAAUCAAGGCUGAGGCGUGAUGACGAGGCACUACGGUGCUGAAGCAACAAAUGCCCUGCUUCCAGGAAAAGCCUCUAAGCAUCAGGUAACAUCAAAUCGUACCCCAAACCGACACAGGUGGUCAGGUAGAGAAUACCAAGGCGCUUGAGAGAACUCGGGUGAAGGAACUAGGCAAAAUGGUGCCGUAACUUCGGGAGAAGGCACGCUGAUACGUAGGUGAAGUCCCUCGCGGAUGGAGCUGAAAUCAGUCGAAGAUACCAGCUGGCUGCAACUGUUUAUUAAAAACACAGCACUGUGCAAACACGAAAGUGGACGUAUACGGUGUGACGCCUGCCCGGUGCCGGAAGGUUAAUUGAUGGGGUCAGCGCAAGCGAAGCUCUUGAUCGAAGCCCCGGUAAACGGCGGCCGUAACUAUAACGGUCCUAAGGUAGCGAAAUUCCUUGUCGGGUAAGUUCCGACCUGCACGAAUGGCGUAAUGAUGGCCAGGCUGUCUCCACCCGAGACUCAGUGAAAUUGAACUCGCUGUGAAGAUGCAGUGUACCCGCGGCAAGACGGAAAGACCCCGUGAACCUUUACUAUAGCUUGACACUGAACAUUGAGCCUUGAUGUGUAGGAUAGGUGGGAGGCUUGGAAGUGUGGACGCCAGUCUGCAUGGAGCCGACCUUGAAAUACCACCCUUUAAUGUUUGAUGUUCUAACGUUGACCCGUAAUCCGGGUUGCGGACAGUGUCUGGUGGGUAGUUUGACUGGGGCGGUCUCCUCCUAAAGAGUAACGGAGGAGCACGAAGGUUGGCUAAUCCUGGUCGGACAUCAGGAGGUUAGUGCAAUGGCAUAAGCCAGCUUGACUGCGAGCGUGACGGCGCGAGCAGGUGCGAAAGCAGGUCAUAGUGAUCCGGUGGUUCUGAAUGGAAGGGCCAUCGCUCAACGGAUAAAAGGUACUCCGGGGAUAACAGGCUGAUACCGCCCAAGAGUUCAUAUCGACGGCGGUGUUUGGCACCUCGAUGUCGGCUCAUCACAUCCUGGGGCUGAAGUAGGUCCCAAGGGUAUGGCUGUUCGCCAUUUAAAGUGGUACGCGAGCUGGGUUUAGAACGUCGUGAGACAGUUCGGUCCCUAUCUGCCGUGGGCGCUGGAGAACUGAGGGGGGCUGCUCCUAGUACGAGAGGACCGGAGUGGACGCAUCACUGGUGUUCGGGUUGUCAUGCCAAUGGCACUGCCCGGUAGCUAAAUGCGGAAGAGAUAAGUGCUGAAAGCAUCUAAGCACGAAACUUGCCCCGAGAUGAGUUCUCCCUGACUCCUUGAGAGUCCUGAAGGAACGUUGAAGACGACGACGUUGAUAGGCCGGGUGUGUAAGCGCAGCGAUGCGUUGAGCUAACCGGUACUAAUGAACCGUGAGGCUUAACCUU
rnacentral:rRNA from 1 species